rnacentral:rRNA from 1 species
CACGGGGGGAGCAAGCGUUGUUCGGAAUCACUGGGCGUAAAGGGCGUGUAGGCGGUCAAGUAAGUGGAAUGUGAAAUCCCCGGCUUACCCGGGGACCUGCAUCCCAAACUGCUUGGCUUGAGUACGGGAGAGGAUGAGGGAAUUCCUGGUGUAGCGGUGAAAUGCGUAGAUAUCAGGAGGAACACCGGUGGCGAAGGCGCUCAUCUGGCCCGAUACUGACGCUGAGGCGCGAAAGCUAGGGAGCAACGG